ensembl:lncRNA
UAUAUAUAUAUAUAUGUAUAUAUAUAUAUAUAAUCUAUAUCUCCUGAAUUAGUUCAUGGAGACUAAAUCCUCUCUGGCAUGUUGCUAUAGUUCAAGUUCUAGCAUCAUUCUUUUGAAAUGUGUGUACAUUUAUGUAUAUUAUGUACACCCAUGGGUUCAUAUACACAUACAUAGGUGUAUAUUAGUUUCUAUAAAACGAUAAGUAUAAAUGUCAACAUAAUAUGAAUAUUUACAGCUAACAAUGCUGUAAAUGUGAAUCUUUUAAUUAUUCAUGUAAACAGCUUGUUAGGCGUACUAUUAUUUGUGGACUAAGUGAAUGUAACAUAGUCGUGUGACUCCAAACAUUGAUUCCUCUAAACGGGUUUAAACAAAACGAGAAAAAGUGUUUGUAAAUGUCUAUGAACUAAUAUUCUGUUUUCUGUGAAGUUCAUGGACCAACGGAAUGAAACUAACAGGAGAUAUAAAGUUAAGCUGUUCAUCACAUGACAUGUAAUCACCAGCACGUUGGUGCAGAUACGAGUAAAUGCUCUUUAUAUAUAUAAACACUUGGCUGCCUCUCGACGGGAGCUCAACUCCGUUUAAAACAAACUCAAAAGAUCUUUAAGAAGAAACAGAGCCAAUCUGUCGCCAACAUGACUAAUCCUGCUGGCAGAGGCUCUGCGCGGUUACCACGGUUACCACGGCAACGAGGGGGGUGUGCCAUCCACGACGCGGUACGAAGGGCUGCAGGAGGAUGCGUUUACCGUCGGCCCAUCCGUGUCAAUAAGAGGAAUACUGAGCUGGAGUCAUCGCAGCCGUAGGGUCACAGCAGCGGCACAUGUUUGUAGUCGUCUCUAAUCAACUAAUGACUUCAUUAAUCCGCUUAAGCUCCUCUUUUGUGGAACCAGCUUCCACUUUCUGUCCAGGGGGCAGAUUCGGUCAGCUCAUCUAAGAUAAAGCUUAAGACUUUCCUCUUUGAUAUGGCUUAUAGUUAGGGCUGGCUCAGGUUAGUCUGGACCAGCCCUUAGUUAAGCUGCUGUAGGCUUAGACUCACAGGUUUCCAUGCAUCAUGGUUCUAUCUGGAUCCUGUUCCUGCCUCCUGCCGUGGCCCUGCUGACACCUGCUGCUGCCAUCAUCAGUAUUAUUACUAUUUUAAAUAUGAAUCAUAUUACUAUUACUGUCCACAUAAACCACCAUUUCCUAAAGGCGUGUGCUUUUCCUCCCCACAGGCUUCUGUGGAUGGUGGUUCUAUGUGAUGGUGGUUCUAUGAGGUGGGGGUUCUAUCUGAUGGUGGUUCUAUGGGAUGGUGGUUCUAUCUGAUGGUGGUUCUAUGAGGUGGUGGUUCUAUCUGAUGGUGGUUCUAUGAGGUGGUCGUUCUAUGUGAUGGUGGUUCUAUGAGGUGGUCGUUCUAUGUGAUGGUGGUUCUAUGAGGUGGGGGUUCUAUCUGAUGGUGGUUCUAUGAGGUGGUGGUUCUAUGGGAUGGUGGUUCUAUCUGAUGGUGGUUCUAUGUGAUGGUGGUUCUCUCUGAUGGUGGUUCUAUGUGAUGGUGGUUCUAUGUGAUGGUGGUGGUCCCUGCAGUGGUCCUGCAGUACACCUGCUCACUACUCCCAUUAUUUGAAUCAUCUCUGUCAUAUGAAUUGAAUGUAUCGUUCAUCUUCCACAUUGUUCAUUCUGUCCUCAUGACAUCAUCGUAGUCUGUCCAUCAGGAGACGGAUCCUCCUCUGACGUUCUCACUGAGGGUUCUUCCCUUUUCUCCCCAUGGAAGGGUUUCAUUGUUUGGGGAGUUUUUCCUGUGAGGGUAUCUGGACAGAGGAUGUCACAUGUGUACAGACUAAUACCCACUGAGGCAAAUUUGUAAUUUGCAAUUUUAGCUCUACAAAAUAAAAUAAAUUGAAUUGAAUUCAUUAUUUUCUAAUUGAUUUGUGACUUGGUCAACGUUUCUCUUAUAUCAUAAUCAAUUAGAUAUUUUUAUAGCUCAACAAUCCAAAAUCCCA